GGCACUAUGGCCGAGCGGUUAAGGCGAAAGACUUGAAUAAUCUUUUGGGCUCUGCCCGCGCAGGUUCGAGUCCUGCUGGUGUCG
rnacentral:tRNA from 1 species